rnacentral:lncRNA from 1 species
AUCUAGAGGGUGAAUGUGAAAGAUUGUUGUUCUGACAAACCUAGAGUACAGCUUUCUUAUUGGCUCUUAAUUCUGGAAAACAGAGUGACUCCUAAUAUCUUGACAUGUUUAUAUUUAUAUGUACACACAUAUCUUGGAAGGCAUCAUCUGUACUCACAUAGCACAUAAACCCUGUAAAAGUUUCAUCUAUGAAGAUUAUAUGCCUGAGAGAAAAGGGUAGAGUCUUAGAGAUCUAAACAUUUAAAGAGAUGGUUCUAAUAGGCAAAUUCACUGUCAACAACUUUUUCUUUAUUUCUUAUAAUCUGAGUAAAAUUUAAGAAAAAUCAAAUAGGUAUUUUGGCUGUUUGGUACCUGUUCUCACAAGACUGAUUUACUACAGAUACUCAUAGAACAUAGAAGUUGAUCUUCUUCACAAGAAGUCUGGCAUGACGAAAGUGUGAUCUAAAAGAAAAGAACUAAAUGCCAAGUUUCAGAACACAACUGGAGUUCCUUGAGACAGUAUUAUACCCAGAUAUUGUUGUGACUCCCAGACAACACUUCCUGGCAUUGAAUUACACUGGAUCAGGAACUGUUUUGUUCCCAAAGAUACCACAAUUUACUCCAGGAACAUUGACUAUUAUUCUGCUCUUGGAGGGCAAGGACUGUUUCUUUGUAAUUAUAUCAAGUUGUGAUUGUAUCAAGUAUCUUUCCACUGGACUCGGAUGGUUCUAGAGGAGAGAGUGAAGCUGAUGACUGCACAGCCCUCUCCAAUUCACUUGCAUAUCAUGGCAUCACCUUCCUGAUAUCAUGUCUUUGAGAACAAGGGACAAACAACAGCAACCCAACUACUCAGCCCAGCACCAGGCACAUGACAGGUACAUACUAAUACUCAUUU